rnacentral:lncRNA from 1 species
GCAAAAGGAGCAUUGUUUUCCAUAAUUCUUUCCUCUUCCUCUUCCAUAAUUGCGCCAUGUAGGGUUAGUACCGUUGUUCUUUCCAUUCAUCUUUUGACCAUAUUGGUUGGCAUUGUUGAUGAGAAUUUUUGUAUCCACUACUGCACUUUCGUUUAGAUGUCUCUCCUGUUGCAGAACCAGAGAGAAGACACGGUUGACCCCUGGAAGGGGAUCCAUUAAUAAGACUUGCGUUUUUACAGUGUUGUAGCUCUCUCCCAAUCCCUUCAAAAAGCACAUGAUUCUCUGUAUUCUGCCAUGGUUUUCAUCACAUUGCACGUACAUUUCGAUUUGCAGGUGCAGGUAGGUAGAGGAUGCAAAGAAUCCAGCUCUUCCCAUAACGUUUUAGAAUCAGUGUAGUACUCAUUGAUGCUUCUUUCACCCUGUUUGAUAGAAUUGAUUUCUUGCAGAAGGUCAGAAAUGCGAAAAUGACUCCCUUUUGAGAAUCUUUCUUCAAGAUCGUUCCAUAGAUCUCUUGCAUUAUCAAUGUACACAGUGCUUUGUGCAAUCUGUGUGUUAAGGCUUCGUGUAAUCCAGGAAACAACU